UACGUAGGGUGCAAGCGUUGUCCGGAAUUAUUGGGCGUAAAGAGCUCGUAGGUGGUUUUGUCGCGUUGUCCGUGAAAAACUCACAACUCAAUUGUGGGCGUGCGGGCGAUACGGGCAGACUGGAGUACUGCAGGGGGAGACUGGAAUUCCUGGUGUAGCGGUGGAAUGCGCAGAUAUCAGGAGGAACACCGGUGGCGAAGGCGGGUCUCUGGGCAGUAACUGACGCUGAGGAGCGAAAGCGUGGGGAGCGAACAGG
rnacentral:rRNA from 1 species